GUCCACGCCGUAAACGAUGAGUGCUAGAUGUCGCGGGUAUUGACCCCUGCGGCGUCGCAGUUAACGCAUUAAGCACUCCGCCUGGGGAGUACGGCCGCAAGGCUAAAACUCAAAGGAAUUGACGGGGGCCCGCACAAGCGGUGGAGCAUGUGGUUCAAUUCGACGCAACGCGCAGAACCUUACCUGGGUUAAAUCCACCGGAACCUUCUGGAGACAGAGGGGUGCUCGCAAGAGAGCCGGUGAGAAGGUGCUGCAUGGCUGUCGU
rnacentral:rRNA from 1 species